AUACGUAGGGUGCAAGCGUUAAUCGGAAUUACUGGGCGUAAAGCGUGCGCAGGCGGUUUUGUAAGACAGUGGUGAAAUCCCCGGGCUCAACCUGGGAACUGCCAUUGUGACUGCAAGGCUGGAGUGCGGCAGAGGGGGAUGGAAUUCCGCGUGUAGCAGUGAAAUGCGUAGAUAUGCGGAGGAACACCGAUGGCGAAGGCAAUCCCCUGGGCCUGCACUGACGCUCAUGCACGAAAGCGUGGGGAGCAAACAGGAUUAGAUACCCUGGUAGUCCACGCCCUAAACGAUGUCAACUGGUUGUUGGGGAUUUAUUUUCUCAGUAACGAAGCUAACGCGUGAAGUUGACCGCCUGGGGAGUACGGUCGCAAGGUUAAAACUCAAAUGAAUUGACGGGG
rnacentral:rRNA from 1 species